AUUGAACGCUGGCGGCAGGCCUAACACAUGCAAGUCGAACGAGUGGCGGAGGGGUGAGUAAUGUCUGGGAAACUGCCUGAUGGAGGGGGAUAACUACUGGAAACGGUAGCUAAUACCGCAUACCAUCAGAUGUGCCCAGAUGGGAUUAGCUAGUUGGUGGGGUAACGGCUAACCACGGCGACGAUCCCUAGCUGCUCUGAGAGGAUGACCAGCCACACUGGAACUGAGACACGGUCCAGACUCCUACGGGAGGCAGCAGUGGGGAAUAUUGCACAAUGGGCGCAAGCCUGACGCAGCCAUGCCGCGUGUAUGAUGAAGGCCUUCGGAUUGUAAAGUACUUUCAGCAGGGAGGCGUUACCCGCUGAGAAAGCACCGGCUAACUCCGUGCCAGCAGCCGCGGUAAUAC
rnacentral:rRNA from 1 species